UUCUUUUCUUAUUGAGAUCAAGGAGUUUGUACUGGGAUGUUAACUUUCUUUUUGAUACACAUUGUAAAAUACCCAGUGCUUUCAGGGGAAGACCAUUGUAGCUAGACAGAUAGAAGCUGACAUAAAUAAUUUUACUACUCUGAAGUGAAGUUCAGACUGGCUUGUUUUCAAAACCAUACAAGUUCCUUAAUAGCCCGUUAUUCACAUAUAUUUUACAAUUCCUUUUGAAUUACCAUAUAAGGCCAGAUAGAGAAGCACUAAGAGGAGACAAAGGAGCAGUCUUUACCAAGUCCGUCCAUUAUAACAAAAUUCACAGCAGUACCACCAUGGCCAUACAAAUUCAUCAUCAUGAAAGUCUGGUCACUCAACCCAUAGCAAACUUUAUUCAUACUUUAAUCUUACACUUUUUCUCAGCUGGAAAGAGCAGUUGAAAAUAUACUGUGGAAAUCAUUUGGCAGUAUCUGAAUGAAAUAAGAUGAAAUGAAAUGAAUGAUGUGACCUAAUAAAUCUUUUGUAUCUACCUCUGGCUUCUGUCAUCUAGAAGUUUUCAAUAAUAGUUAGGAAGGUUCUCCCUUCAGUGCCCAACUGCAACUCAACUUCUCUGUAGUGCUACAGUUUGGAAGCUUAUUUUAGGGUACAAAAAUGACAGACAAUGAAAUACAUAGUUUGGAAUCACACAGUAGAAAUGAAAAGAGGUAAUGUGUCAAGUGCUACUUGGGACUCCUUUAGUAUACGCUCUUGCUGAGAUGGCUUCAGCAAAAUAACUUCCCUCCAGAAACAUAACUCAACAGUAUGAUCAACUGAAUCUGAAACUAUCUCCAAGGACUUAUUCACUCAUCCUUAGUUGGAAUCUUUAGAUUCCUCUAGGAUUUACAUCACAAACAAUGGGUUCUGUCAGCAGAUAUUUGGGACUCUACUUAACUUCAGCUGAAGAUCCGAGAAGGAUCCCAAUCAGUUGGAUACAGAGAUACAAGAUUAAACUAUGCAAGGUAGUUGGUAAUCCUAAGUGCAAACUACUUUCCCCUGGGAUCGGCUCUCCAUUUUAACAAUUUGGGAACAGUGGCUGAAAACUUUCAUUUGCAAAUUUAUUUCUUAAAGAACAGAAAGAAGCCAUGAAAGAUGUAUUUUGGAGAUGAGGAGAAUCUAUGUUCCACACCUUCAGUGCUUCAGUACUUAGCAACAGAGCAGAAAGCAGAGCGAGGAAGACUAAAACACAAGACAGAAUACACAAGAAGAAUAGAGCACCGGUUAAAUAUCAACAAUCCUUUGAUUUUCAUUGCUACAAUCAAAAAUGAACCAGCUGAGAUAAAUCUGUGUAUUGCAUGCUUAUAGGUCACAACUGGCUCUUUAUCUGGAAAAAAUAUUAUUGUUAUAUUGAUUG